UACGAAGGGGGCUAGCGUUGUUCGGAAUUACUGGGCGUAAAGCGCACGUAGGCGGACAUUUAAGUCAGGGGUGAAAUCCCGGGGCUCAACCCCGGAACUGCCUUUGAUACUGGGUGUCUCGAGUCCGGAAGAGGUGAGUGGAACUCCGAGUGUAGAGGUGAAAUUCGUAGAUAUUCGGAAGAACACCAGUGGCGAAGGCGGCUCACUGGUCCGGUACUGACGCUGAGGUGCGAAAGCGUGGGGAGCAAACAGG
rnacentral:rRNA from 1 species